UUGCACCAGAUACGAACCCGACAGCCCCCCCACACCUGCUUAGUAAUUUUGUGCACUGGGGGUCUGGUGACUGUCUGGUUACAAAAUGGUGCUACAGCAACAUGAGCCCUGAGAUUUAAGCUUUUCAGUGGAAAGCAACACUGUUGAGUUAUGGCUCAGAGGCACAGAG